rnacentral:tRNA from 9 species
GCGCCCGUAGCUCAGCUGGAUAGAGCGUUGCCCUCCGAAGGCAGAGGUCAGAGGUUCGAAUCCUCUCGGGCGCGCCA